GAGAACCGUGGAAAAGAGACUCGCUGGAAAAUGAGCCUGGCGACUGACGACUGAGGACGUAUCGCGAUAAUCGUGUGUAAGAUGGCGGCGGCGGCGGCGGCGGCGGCGGCGGCGGGGCGGCUCAGUGUGAGCCGGGAAAGACCCGGGCGAAGGCCAGCUGUUCUGAUGGAGUCGAAGAACGCCGGCCAGCCGGUGGUCUGCUCCCGCCGGAGACAGUUAUUAUGGCAGACUCUCUGCUGAACUAAACUUGGGCUGUGCGCUCGCUCCUUCCUCCUCGCACCGAGAACCGCUUACCUCAGGUUCCGUUUCCCUGACAUUUUCCCCUCGUGUCGAAUUGCUGGAGAUGGAGUGGGUAGGCCCGAAAUUGACCUCCUCACCUCCAGGUUACCUUCAGGAAUUUUUUCAUCCGUUCUACCGUCUGCCAAACUUACUUUGCUUCCUCGGAAAAGUUUAUCCCGGGUGCCCCGCCCCAUCAAUUUUCGAGACCAAAAUAGGAAAUAAGUCACAGGCCCACGCACAAACAAGAAAGAAAGAAAGAGAGAGAGAGAGAGGAAAAAAGAGAGCGAAAAAAGACAGAUCUAAGGUGUUUAGCUGUGGCAUGCAACUGGAAUCUCACAGGAGUAGGAUUUGCACUUGCUGGUCGCGGGCCUCUGCUUACAUCCUCAGAAUCUGGACUUCCAGGGGUGUCUCUGCUCUAUGGCAAUGAAGCAGAAGGAUUUACCGAAUCCUGGUCAACAAGGAGGAAUGAAACACAAGGGAUGAGCAGGACAAUAGAAUUGGGAAGAAUGUUUACCUCUCUUUUGAAGCCCUUGAGAAGUUUUCGUGAGGUGCAUUCAGUUCUGUCAAGUAAAAACAUAUAUGGCUAACUACAGUGUACAACUUAAAUGUUCCACUUGCUACAUUAUUAACAAAAUUGAUUUCACUGGUAUUUUUAACCGCAUCAGUUUCAAAUCAGGCCAGGUGUGGUGGCUCAUGCCUUUAGUCCCAGAACUUGGUAGGCAGAGAGAAGUAGAUCUCUUGCAAGGCCACCCAGAUCUACAUAGUGAAUUCCAGGACAUGUCUCUAAAAAUUCAUUAAUUUUAGAAAAUAAUUUGUAAUCGAUAUUAAUCCAUUUCAUUUUUAAGACAUGGUUUCACUCUGUCACCCUGACAUGCCUGAACUCCCAGAGAUCGCCUGCUUCUGCCUACGCCUGCUUCUGCCUCCGAAGUGCUAGGAAUUAAAGUCCUGAAAUGCCACACUCAUCCAAGAUUGGUGUUUUCCCUUACUUUUUCAGAAACCAGUGUUUAGGGGCUGAAGAGAGAUCUCAGCGGUUAAGAGUAUUUGUGGAGAGUGUAGCUCUUAGACAGGACCAGGGUUCAACUAACAGCUCCAGCUACGGAGGAUCUAAUGCAUUCUAGCUUCUGCAGGCACUGCAUGCGUGAGGUGCACAGACAUGCAGGCAAAACAUCCAUAGGACGUAAAAAAUAAGAGUAGAUAAAAGUUUUAAAAUACUUAUUUUGUAUUUAUUCCACAUUUCAGUCCACCAGAAAUGUUUAAUGAACUCAGAAAUCACAUGCAGCUUGCUAAUAAGUACAAUAUUGUGCAGCAUAGACUUUGUCUCCAUAGUAUCGAAUGAAUGAGCACUCUCCGAGAGCCAGAGAGUAAUAUUCUGGCUAUGUGAUUUGUAAAAGAGGGACCUUUAAAAUUGCUAACUCAAUGGCAGCAGGGGCUAGGUGAAUAACAAAAGCUAGUCUUGUAUAAUAUAAAAACUAGUGAGUACUAGAACCCACUAGAAUCACAAAUUCUUACCUGAAAGGACUCUCUUGAGUUGACAAGGCCUCACUAUGUCGCUCUGGCUGUCCUGGAACUCACUCUGUAGAUCAAAGUGGCCUUGAACUCAGAGAUCCACCUGCCUCUGUCUCUCAAGUGCUGAGACUAAAGGCAUGCACCACCCAUACCUUCCUACUCCUGAAUUUUAAAACAGAGUAAUGUAUCUGGGGCUUAAAUUCAAUCCCCAACACUGCAGUAAAAAUAAAGAUAGUAGGAUGGGUGUAGUGGCAGAGUCCGGAGAAUCACUACAAGGUCUGUGCUAGCCUGUUCCACACAAGCCAGGCGUGGUGGCGCAUGCCUCUAAUCCUAGCACUCGGAAGGCAGAGGCACACGGAUUUCUGAGUUUGAGGCCAGUCUGGUCUACAGAGUGAGUUCCAGGACAGUCAAGGCUACACAGAGAAACCCUGUCUUGAAAAACCAAAAAGGAAAAAAAAAAAAAAGACUUGCAGUCUAUCCAGAGAUACACAGACUCUUCAAAAGAGAAUAUAUAUAUAUAUGAAUGAUGGCAGACAGAAGACACUGAAGAAGAGAACACUUUUCUCAUGAUGCUAGGAAAUGGAACCUAAGGCGUCUUCCCUAGUGAAGCCCUGCACCACACUAUUGCAGAGGUUCUCAACCUGUGGGUCCUAAGGCUUACAGAUCAUCAAGUGACCCUUUCUCCAGGUUUACAGAUCAGAUAUCCUGCAUAUCAGAUGUCUACAUUACAAUUUAUAACAGUAGCACCAUUACAGUUAUGAAGUAGCAACACAAUAAUGUUAUGGUUGGGAGUCACACAACAUGAGGAACUGUAUUGAGGUGUUGCUGAUCUAUUACAUACUCAGACAUGAGUUGUUCAUUUUAUGUUCUGUUUUUUCUUUUUUGUUAAACUUUUAUCAAUGAAGAAUCUAUUGCAGUUACUUGGGGAUGUAACAUAGACAACCUGCAGAGGUCAGGUUUCUUUUUCCACUGUGUGGACCCCAAGGAUGGAACUCAAGUCACCAGGCUUAAAAGCAGACACCUGUAUCCACUAAACCAUCUCACCAGCCUUUAGGUUUUUGCUUGUUUGUUUGUGGUUUUUGUUUUGGAGCAGGGUCUCAAUGUGUAGCCCUAGUUGGUCUGGAAUAAUAUAAACCAGGCUAACCUAGAACUCAUAAAGAUAUACCUGCCUAUGCCAGGGCCAAGAAGUGGGAGUCGGGGGGAUGGUUUGGGGGACUUUUGGGGUAGCAUUGGAAAUGUAAAUGAAGAAAAUACCUAAUUAAAAAAAUUAAAAAUAAAAAUAAAAAGAUACACCUG
ensembl:antisense 2810402E24Rik RIKEN cDNA 2810402E24 gene